GUGCUCGCUUGGGUAGCACAUAUACUAAAAUUGGAACUAUACAGAGAAGAUUAGCAUGGCCCCUGCACAAGGAUGACACGCAAAUUCAUGAAGCAUUCCAUAUUUUU
rnacentral:snRNA from 1 species